GCCUAUACAUGCAGUCGUACGCUAGCCGCUGAAUUGAUCCUUCGGGUGAAGUGAGGCAAUGACUAGAGUGGCGAACUGGUGAGUAACACGUAAGAAACCUGCCCUUUAGUGGGGGAUAACAUUUGGAAACAGAUGCUAAUACCGCGUAACAACAAAUCACACAUGUGAUCUGUUUGAAAGGUCCUUUUGGAUCGCUAGAGGAUGGUCUUGCGGCGUAUUAGCUUGUUGGUAGGGUAGAAGCCUACCAAGGCAAUGAUGCGUAGCCGAGUUGAGAGACUGGCCGGCCACAUUGGGACUGAGACACUGCCCAAACUCCUACGGGAGGCUGCAGUAGGGAAUUUUCCGCAAUGCACGAAAGUGUGACGGAGCGACGCCGCGUGUGUGAUGAAGGCUUUCGGGUCGUAAAGCACUGUUGUAAGGGAAGAAUAACUGAAUUCAGAGAAAGUUUUCAGCUUGACGGUACCUUACCAGAAAGGGAUGGCUAAAUACGUGCCAGCAGCCGCGGUAAUACGUAUGUCCCGAGCGUUAUCCGGAUUUAUUGGGCGUAAAGCGAGCGCAGACGGUUUAUUAAGUCUGAUGUGAAAUCCCGAGGCCCAACCUCGGAACUGCAUUGGAAACUGAUUUACUUGAGUGCGAUAGAGGCAAGUGGAACUCCAUGUGU
rnacentral:rRNA from 1 species